GAUGAAGAACGCAGCGAAAUGCGAUACUUGGUGUGAAUUGCAGAAUCCCGUGAACCAUCGAGUCUUUGAACGCAAGUUGCGCCCGAAGCCACUAGGCCGAGGGCACGCCUGCCUGGGCGUCACACGCCGUUGCCCCCCCAUCUACUCCUUCGGGAUUGCGGGGGGGCGGAUGAUGGCCUCCUGUGCGCCUAGCCGCGCGGUUGGCAUAAAUACCAAGUCCUCGGCGACGCACGCCACGACAAUCGGUGGUUGCGAAACCUCGGUUGCCCGUCGUGUGCGUUCGUCGCGCAUCGAGGGCUCGAAAAAAUGCUCGGCUCCGGCUGGGCUUUCAACGCGACCCCAGGUCAGGCGGGGUUACCCGCUGAAUUUAAGCAUAUCAAUAAGCGGAGG
rnacentral:misc_RNA from 1 species